rnacentral:lncRNA from 1 species
UUUUUUCUUCGGAAUUUGUGAUACGAGUAAUAAUUUGAAAUGAAGCGUUUCUUCAUGGUUUUGGAAAGGGGAAAAUUAGAAGGAAAAGCAUUGUUGUUGCAGGGACAAAGAGAGAAGUGAAAAGUGGGAGAAGCUUGUUGAAGAAUCAUGGAUGGAUUGAUGAGAAGUGAAAGAACAUAGGGUCAUGACAAUGAAUAUGAAUAAUCUUACAAACCAACAUUGAAAUUGGGAUUGUGGAGUAUUGAACUGAAUUGUGUGAUUACGAGAAACGUAACGUAAUCAGUGGGAGGAAGAAGAGGCAUGGUGUGAAAAAUGAGAGAAAUUGAAUUGAAUUGAAGAAAGAUUGGACACGUUUUAGUGGGAAUUUCAACCUAGAAUUUUGGCCUUACAAUUUUGACUACGUGGAUUAUCAUUAUGACAUGGGUCUCACAAGAGCUACCACUUUAUGCUUUUUCAAUUUUAGUAUUUGU